rnacentral:rRNA from 1 species
AUUGAACGCUGGCGGCAUGCCUUACACAUGCAAGUCGAACGGCAGCACGGGAGUAAUCCUGGUGGCGAGUGGCGAACGGGUGAGUAAUAUAUCGGAACGUGCCCAGUCGUGGGGGAUAACGCAGCGAAAGCUGUGCUAAUACCGCAUACGAUCUAAGGAUGAAAGCGGGGGAUCGCAAGACCUCGCGCGAUUGGAGCGGCCGAUAUCAGAUUAGCUAGUUGGUGGGGUAAAGGCCCACCAAGGCGACGAUCUGUAGCUGGUCUGAGAGGACGACCAGCAGCACUGGAACUGAGACACGGUCCAGACUCCUACGGGAGGCAGCAGUGGGGAAUUUUGGACAAUGGGCGCAAGCCUGAUCCAGCAAUGCCGCGUGCAGGAUGAAGGCCUUCGGGUUGUAAACUGCUUUUGUACGGAACGAAACGGCCCUUUCUAAUACAGGGGGCUAAUGACGGUACCGUAAGAAUAAGCACCGGCUAACUACGUGCCAGCCGCCGCGGUAA